GAAGUCAGUGUGGAACCUUCGAGUGCAUAUAAGCUUAUUCUGUAUCAUUCAGGUUUAUAAAAAGAAAGACCAAACAACCAAAAAAGCCCCAGUAAUAAAAUCACUGCCUUUACUCCUGAUUUUAUGAAGAAAAACUGACCUGAAGUAGAUUUAGAACUUCACUGCUUCCAUGAAGACAGAAAAGAAGUCCCACAAGGAUUUUCUGAGCGCAACCAUGACCAGCGCACUCUGCAGAAAAUACAAAGGAGCCCAAUGUACCCGGAACGCUUCACGCCUGGAAGGUGACACGCAUACAGAGUGGAGAGCGAGCCUACAGAAAAGUUGAUGACUCAAUUUGUAUCUGGCAUGCAUACUAAACCACAGAGUUUUCUCCAGUCAUUUCUGUAGCAAGCUUAAUAAAUAGCUCAAAUGAUACAGCUUUCCUAGAAAGAUAGACUGUCCUGAUUUUGAGUGAUGAAACACAAAAUUGUUCUUGUACAUUUUUUUUUGCCGAGAAAUUUCACACUAAGAGUGUUUAGCUGCUUUGAACAUGGCGGCUCACUGAACACGACCUUACAUUUUCUUCCCAAGCAAUCUUGUCC